ensembl:misc_RNA 7SK 7SK RNA
GGAUGUAAGGGUGAUCUGGCUGCAACAUCUGUCACCCCACUGAUCACCAGGAUUGAUUAGGAUGAUCUGGCUGGCUAGGUGGGUGUCCCCUUCCUCCCUCACCCCUCAGUUGACAACCUUCUCCAAAUAGAGAUGGACUGAUCUUCGGUCAAGGGUAUACAAGUAGCUAUGCUCGCUUUCCUGCUAGAACCUCCAAACAAGCUUUCAAGGCCCAAGAAGAGAGCUAGAAAGUUCUACUCUGGCUUUUUGGGCUCUCUGCUGAGUAGAUAGCUUCACAA